AGAAUGAACGCUGGCGGCGUGCUUAACACAUGCAAGUCGAACGAUGAAGCCUAGCUUGCUAGGUGGAUUAGUGGCGCACGGGUGAGUAAUAUAUAGAUAAUGUGCCUCUUAGUCUGGGAUAGCCAUUGGAAACGAUGAUUAAUACUAGAUACUCCUUCUCUUUAUAAUUAGAGUUGGGAAAGUUUUUCGCUAAGAGAUCAGUCUAUAUCCCAUCAGUUAGUUGGUAGGGUAAUGGCCUACCAAGGCAAUGACGGGUAGCGGGUUUGAGAGGAUGAUCCGCCACACUGGUACUGAGACACGGACCAGACUCCUACGGGAGGCAGCAGUGAGGAAUAUUGCACAAUGGAGGAAACUCUGAUGCAGCAACGCCGCGUGGAGGAUGACGCAUUUCGGUGUGUAAACUCCUUUUAUAUGUCAAGAAAAUGACGGUAGCAUAUGAAUAAGCACCGGCUAACUCCGUGCCAGCAGCCGCGGUAAUACGGAGGGUGCAAGCGUUAUUCGGAAUCACUGGGCGUAAAGGACGCGUAGGCUGGAUGCCAAGUCUGAUGUGAAAUCCUAUGGCUUAACCAUAGAACUGCAUUGGAAACUGGUAACCUAGAGUAUGGGAGGGGGAGAUGGAAUUAGUGGUGUAGGGGUAAAAUCCGUAGAUAUCACUAGGAAUACCGAAAGCGAAGGCGAUCUCCUGGAACAAUACUGACGCUAAGGCGUGAAAGCGUGGGGAGCAAACGGGAUUAGAUACCCCGGUAGUCCACGCCCUAAACGAUGAACACUAGUCGUCGGAAUGCUAGUCAUUUCGGUGAUGCACUUAACAGAUUAAGUGUUCCGCCUGGGGAGUACGGUCGCAAGAUUAAAACUCAAAGGAAUAGACGGGGACCCGCACAAGUGGUGGAGCAUGUGGUUUAAUUCGAAGAUACGCGAAGAACCUUACCUAGCCUUGACAUUGAUUGAACACUUUA
rnacentral:rRNA from 1 species